rnacentral:rRNA from 1 species
UACGUAGGGUGCGAGCGUUGUCCGGAAUUAUUGGGCGUAAAGCGCGCGCAGGCGGUCUCUUAAGUCUGAUGUGAAAGCCCACGGCUCAACCGUGGAGGGUCAUUGGAAACUGGGGGGACUUGAGUACAGAAGAGGAAAGCGGAAUUCCACGUGUAGCGGUGAAAUGCGUAGAGAUGUGGAGGAACACCAGUGGCGAAGGCGGCUUUCUGGUCUGUAACUGACGCUGAGGCGCGAAAGCGUGGGGAGCAAACAGG